rnacentral:tRNA from 1 species
UAUAUUUUAGUGUAAAUCACAGAAUUUUUUGAAUAUUCAAAAAAUAGAUAAUAACUAUUAAAUAUAA